rnacentral:lncRNA from 1 species
AUGAGUAUCGAAGGGCCGUCCUUGCUGCGUGCUGCUGUCCCCUGCCCUGGAUGGAGGAGGGCAGAGGGCACAAUGUCCCCAUCCCGUGGGCCACCCCAAGGCACGGUGGCACCAGGGGGUGGGGUGCCUGCGAGGUACCCUCUGCUCCUCCGUGCUGUGCAGCCCCCAGUGGCCAAGGGGCAUCAGUGUUGUCCCCAAGGUGACGCCAACCCCAAGCCCUGCGCUGGGGCCGUCUCCAUUUCUGCGGUGUCACAGCAGGGACAGGGACACCCCAACAAGGGUGGGUCUCCCCUGCAUGGUGCCGUGCAUCCUGAUGGGUCUGCAGCGUGGGGCAGGAGCCCAGCACCCUACCCAGCACAGAGGGACACGGUGCCUGAGCCCCCCAGGAUGCCCCCUCCCACCUUCUAUGAACAGCACUUUGUCUGUCCGUCCCUUCCCACGGGUGAGCCCGGAGCCACAAGGGGACAGUGGGUACCACCAUGCCCUAUGGCAAGGCACCAAGGGGACACCUCAUGGCCCCUGGAACCUCAGCCCCUUCCCAUGGCCCCGUGUCACAGUGGUGAGGGUGACCAAAGGGCUGGAGCUGAGCUGGUCCACGUCCUGGGACACCCCCAGAGGGAAGAGUUCUCCUCCAGCCCUGUGCUGCUGGGGACAGGGGGUGGAUUGCAGUGCUGGAAGGGGACAGGGUGGGUGGCAGCUGCUGUCUCCAGAAGGACUGUCCUCAUCCUCAUCAUUUUCACCUUUGCUCUCAUCCUUGUCGUCCUCAUCCUUGUCUUCAUCCUAAUCCUCAUCUCAUCCUCCUCACCCUCGUCUUCAUCCUCUUUCCUCAUCAUCUUCAUCCUCAUUCUCAUCUUCAUCCUCUUCCUCAUCAUCUUCAUCCUCAUUCUCAUCUUCAUCCUUGUCCCGGUCUUCCUCAUUCCCAUCCCCAUCCCCAUCCCCAUCCCCAUCCCCAUCCCCAUCCUCAUCCUCAUCCUCAUCCUCAUCCUCAUCCUCAUCCUCAUCCUCAUCCUCAUCCUCAUCCUCAUCUUCAUCCUUAUUCUUAUCAACCUCAUCUUUGUCUUCAGCCUCACCCCCAUCCCCAUCCCAUGCUCCCAGCAGUGU